AGCUCCAAUAGCGUAUAUUUUAGUUGUUGCAGUUAAAAAGCUCGUAGUUGAAUUUCUGGUGGGGGAAUGCGGUCUGACCCUUAGGGUUAGCACUUGCACUCUCCGGCCAUCCUUGGGUGGAGCCAUUCUGGCAUUAAGUUGUCGGGGUGGGGAUGCCCAUCGUUUACUGUGAAAAAAUUAGAGUGUUCAAAGCAGACUUAUGUUGUUGAAUAUAUUAGCAUGGAAUAAUAAGAUAGGACAGCAGUGCUAUUUUGUUGGUUUGCGCACCGUUGUAAUGAUGAAUAGGGACAGUUGUGGGUAUUCGUAUUCACUUGUAAGAGGUGAAAUUCUUAGAUUAAGGGAAGACGAACUACUGCGAAAGCAUUUACCAAGGAUGUCU
rnacentral:rRNA from 1 species